rnacentral:tRNA from 1 species
GCGGGUGUGAUGUAGUUGGUAGCAUUUGAGUACGCCAUACUCAACGCGUGGGUUCGAGUCCCACCACUCGCU